UACGGGGGGAGCAAGCGUUGUUCGGAUUUACUGGGCGUAAAGGGCGCGUAGGCGGCGUGACAAGUCACUUGUGAAAUCUCCGGGCUUAACCCGGAGCGGCCAAGUGAUACUGUCGUGCUAGAGUGCGGAAGGGGCUACUGGAAUUCUCGGUGUAGCGGUGAAAUGCGUAGAUAUCGAGAGGAACACCUGCGGCGAAGGCGGGUAGCUGGGCCGACACUGACGCUGAGGCGCGAAAGCUAGGGGAGCGAAUGGG
rnacentral:rRNA from 1 species